GAGUCCUCUCUUACUCGCGUGUGGAACCAGGCUUCCAGCAGCUGUUGACGACGUAUGAGUUCCAUGUCCAACCGAGUCUCUCGAGUUCUUGUGAGACUUUCGCUCCGUUAUAGUAUCUGGCUCCAACGAGCUUCCUGUUGACAGUCUCAUUGGCUUUGGUGCCUGGUGGAUUGACGCAAGUUCCUCUCCAACGAGCUGGCACAGGUCCCAUGUCGGUGUCCUUGAAACUCUCCGACUCUGGCCAGAUUCUUACGCACAGAGCAAGUAAGCACAUUGAGCUUUUCCGAGCGAGU